rfam:Schistosoma mattheei strain Denwood, Zambia genome assembly, scaffold: SMTD_scaffold0022308
AGCCAGCUGACGAGUCCCAAAUAGGACGAGACUCAGGUUCUGGAU